GAUCCUGGCUCAGGAUGAACGCUAGCGACAGGCCUAACACAUGCAAGUCGAGGGGCAGCGAAAAGGUAGCAAUACCUUUGUCGGCGACCGGCGCACGAGUGAGUAACACGUAUGCAAUCCACCUGUAACAGGGGGAUAACCCGGAGAAAUCCGGACUAAUACCCCAUAAUAUGGGCGCUCCGCAUGGAGAGCCCAUUAAAGAGAGCAAUUUUGGUUACAGACGAGCAUGCGCUCCAUUAG
rnacentral:rRNA from 1 species